rnacentral:rRNA from 1 species
UUUAAAGAGAGUUUGAUCCUGGCUCAGGACGAACGCUGGCGGCGUGCCUAAUACAUGCAAGUCGAACGAACGGAGGAAG